UUCACUUUAACACUGAGGCGUGAUGACGAGGCACUACGGUGCUGAAGCAACAAAUGCCCUGCUUCCAGGAAAAGCCUCUAAGCAUCAGGUAACAUCAAAUCGUACCCCAAACCGACACAGGUGGUCAGGUAGAGAAUACCAAGGCGCUUGAGAGAACUCGGGUGAAGGAACUAGGCAAAAUGGUGCCGUAACUUCGGGAGAAGGCACGCUGACACGUAGGUGAAGUGAUUUACUCACGGAGCUGAAGUCAGUCGAAGAUACCAGCUGGCUGCAACUGUUUAUUAAAAACACAGCACUGUGCAAACACGAAAGUGGACGUAUACGGUGUGACGCCUGCCCGGUGCCGGAAGGUUAAUUGAUGGGGUCAGCGCAAGCGAAGCUCCUGAUCGAAGCCCCGGUAAACGGCGGCCGUAACUAUAACGGUCCUAAGGUAGCGAAAUUCCUUGUCGGGUAAGUUCCGACCUGCACGAAUGGCGUAAUGAUGGCCAGGCUGUCUCCACCCGAGACUCAGUGAAAUUGAACUCGCUGUGAAGAUGCAGUGUACCCGCGGCAAGACGGAAAGACCCCGUGAACCUUUACUAUAGCUUGACACUGAACAUUGAGCCUUGAUGUGUAGGAUAGGUGGGAGGCUUUGAAGUGUGGACGCCAGUCUGCAUGGAGCCGACCUUGAAAUACCACCCUUUAAUGUUUGAUGUUCUAACGUGGACCCGUAAUCCGGGUUGCGGACAGUGUCUGGUGGGUAGUUUGACUGGGGCGGUCUCCUCCUAAAGAGUAACGGAGGAGCACGAAGGUUGGCUAAUCCUGGUCGGACAUCAGGAGGUUAGUGCAAUGGCAUAAGCCAGCUUGACUGCGAGCGUGACGGCGCGAGCAGGUGCGAAAGCAGGUCAUAGUGAUCCGGUGGUUCUGAAUGGAAGGGCCAUCGCUCAACGGAUAAAAGGUACUCCGGGGAUAACAGGCUGAUACCGCCCAAGAGUUCAUAUCGACGGCGGUGUUUGGCACCUCGAUGUCGGCUCAUCACAUCCUGGGGCUGAAGUAGGUCCCAAGGGUAUGGCUGUUCGCCAUUUAAAGUGGUACGCGAGCUGGGUUUAGAACGUCGUGAGACAGUUCGGUCCCUAUCUGCCGUGGGCGCUGGAGAACUGAGGGGGGCUGCUCCUAGUACGAGAGGACCGGAGUGGACGCAUCACUGGUGUUCGGGUUGUCAUGCCAAUGGCACUGCCCGGUAGCUAAAUGCGGAAGAGAUAAGUGCUGAAAGCAUCUAAGCACGAAACUUGCCCCGAGAUGAGUUCUCCCUGAGACUUAGAGUCUCCUGAAGGAACGUUGAAGACGACGACGUUGAUAGGCCGGGUGUGUAAGCGCAGCGAUGCGUUGAGCUAACCGGUACUAAUGAACCGUGAGGCUUAACCUUACA
rnacentral:rRNA from 1 species